AAGUCGUAACAAGGUCUCCGUAGGUGAACCUGCGGAGGGAUCAUUAACACUUUAAAAACAAAAACAAAAACAACCCGGUAACCCCAAAAAAAUGCUAGACUUGUUUGUCUGUUGAGUUCAAAAGCAUUAUUUUCUAGUUUUAGAUUCGAGAUCUUAGAAUUUUAUUUUAAUUGAGCUCUUUAUAACUAGAAAGAAGUAUUUUUUGAAUUUCCUUUCACAUUUCUAGCAGUUUUUUAUUCUAUUCACUCGUCUCUUUUUUUUCCUUCUUAAUUGAAUCAAAAAAAAAACCAAGUGUAUAGUAUAAGAAUUCUAUACUAUUUGUACUAAAUCGUUUAGCUUUAUUUUCGAAUAACUCUAGACAAAACCUAAAUAAACAUUAAGCACAACUCUUAACAAUGGAUAUCUAGGCUCUC
rnacentral:misc_RNA from 1 species